UGUUAAUGGUUAGUAAAAUUAUCAAAUUAUGUAAAAUUAGGUUAGGGUUAGGAUUUUUAAUUAAGUUAGGGUUUUUAAUUAAGUUAGGUUAGGGUUAGGGUUUUUAAUUAAGUUAGGUUUUUAAUUAAAUUAGGUUAGGGUUAGGGUUUUUAAUUAAAUUAGGUUAGAGUUAGGGUUUUUAAUUAAGUUAGGGUUUUUAAUUAAGUUAGGUUUUUAAUUAAGUUAGGGUUUUUAAUUAAGUUAGGGUUUUUAAAUAAAUUAGGUUUUUAUUACAUCAAAUAGAACUUCUAUUUUAUUAUAUUAAAUAAACUUCUAUUUUAUUACAUCAGAUAAUAAAUUUAAAUACGGCAAUCAAUGUCUAUGCCCGGGGGAUUCGGUUCCACAUGGCGGCCGUCGACGGUUACGCGCUGGAUUCCUCCUUCCUCUAGCUUCAGGCGGCGGUUGUUCUUCCUUCGGUGAUGAUUGUGGUUCUUCCGGUUCGACAUCUGGUUGUCGGACUUGGGAUGAUGAUCCACCUUCAAAGAAUAGUGUAUGUGGAGGUGUUUGCAUCAUGAACGGCGACGGUGUUUGAAAGCCAUACGUUGGUGGCGAGUAGUAAAAAGGAGAGCUCCCCGACGGCCCCCCUUGCAAUCCCUCCUACGCCGCUGGCCUAGAUAUCGAUGGUCCGCUCGGCAUAACAGGAAAUGGAGCUGAACCGGGCAUUUGGCUCCAACCUGCCAUAGGAUUCGGAAAAGGAUACAUGUAAGGGUUAGGGUACAUAUAAGGGCUAGGAAACACACCUGGCAUCAUAGGGAAAGGCGGUUGCGUGGGUAUCAUCUGUUGAAUUGCU
rnacentral:lncRNA from 1 species